UCCUAGCGCAGCAGAGCCUGCCCCGC
rnacentral:piRNA from 1 species